CCCACCCCAACACACACACACACACACACACCUUGUCCAGGAGUGUGUAUCUGUGCGUUAGCUCUCAGCAGGGGGGCUGUUUACGGUUCAUUAUGAUGUCAUUUCCUGCUAGCGGCAGUGUGUGUGGAGACGUGUUGAGGAGUGGUUGAGUGGAGUAUAUAAGACAUUUAGUAGCCGUGGAACGGAUUAAAGAGGACAAUGUUACUGGACAGGUCAUUUGUGGAGGCUGUGCUUGAUUUCUCAGGACCAAUAGAAGCACGUAUCUCACUAGAACACUGCUGCACUUAAACUCCAAUAUGUUCAGCGUCUGAUCUGGUGAAGUCAGAUCUCUGUUACACAAUGACGCGUCUUUAGAGUGGACCUGAGUUUGAAACUGUUCCUGUUGUACGAGUAUGGCUUGAUGAAGGAUUCUAGAGUGUGAGAGGUUGGCUAUGACGACAGCACUCCUCCGUCCUGUGUUCUGUGUUACUAUGUUGUUACUAUGGCGAUGUUACUAUGUUGAUAUUGUGAUGCACUGGAGAGAGUCCAUGGACUGUAGGUUCUGUAGGAUCUGUUCCAUAGGGAUAGUCGCUCUGCUUAAGGGUGUUUCUGUUUCACUGAACACUGGGUUACUGAUGAGGGUUUACCCAGGCUGGGUUACUGAACUAUAUCCACCUGUGGAGGCACGUACUUGUGUGUUUGUGUGCUCAGAGUUUUAGUGGCUCCACACCACAUGACAGUUGUUCUGCAAAAUGUUGUUUUUACCAUAACUGGAAGGACUGUUUCAGGUGAGGGGCAUUAGAGUUGAAAUGGGUUGAUUUUAUAAGAAGUUUUAAGUGUACUAUGUGUGUUAAGUGGAUGCUAUGAUCAGUCGGAUGACGACCAGAGGCUAAUUGACCUUUGAACCCUGAUCUUACUGUAUGGUGGUGACCUCUAUGACAUAACCCAGAGCAAAUAUACCUGCGCUGCUUUAAACCUGCCUCUGUGUCUGUGUGUUCAGUCCAUAUGUGUGCGUGGAGAUCUCAUUUGAUAUUAUCUGAGAAUGCACUUUCUUUUGCAGGAUGGUCUUACCUGCGUGUGUGUGUGUGUGUGUUGUACUCCUACCACUGUUCUUGCCUAUUUUGCCUGCUGUGCUGGCUAGACCCUAUGUGUGUGUGUGUGUGUGUGUGUGUGUGUGUAUGUGUGGUUACUCUUUCUGCUCUGCACAGUGCCUGUGUACCUUGCUGGACGUUGUGUAUAUUUGAAUAAAUAAAUAAAAAUGUUUAAACCUC